rnacentral:lncRNA from 1 species
UUCAUUCUCUAAAUUUGUGAUGGGUUUUGGUUUGGCUUAUUCCCCAAAAUACUUUAGAUUAUUUUAAAAACUCAGACAGAUAUCUCUGUCUCUAUACAAUGGGAAUCAAUAGAAUAAUUUUGUUAAUAAAAGGAUGAAGAGGGAACUUUUGCCACCACAAUAAGGAGGGCUCCGAGUCCCAUCUUAAAUGACUGGCAGAUUUCGAAACUAAUUAGUACAUGGGGAAGUGUAGGAGGGAAGGGCUAAAAAAAAAAAAAAUCACCAUAGACGUCAAAACACAGAGAUAAAUCCGGAUCUGACCAUCUGCUGAAACCACUGUAUGAUGCCUCCUCUAAGGGAAAUUUGAUGGAAUUACUCAUGUUCUGCUGGAGUAUCUGUCAUCUGAGAUCACUGGCAUUGAGUACAGAACUUAAAGACUUAAUUGAAGAAGAGCAGUUGCCUUUUGUUAUUAUGGAGAAUGGAACACAUGACUCUUUCAACAAUUUGACGACUUUUUUUAUUCAAUCUGUCCCUGGAAAUCUAUAACUAAAAGGCUGUCGUUUAAAAAAAGGAAGAUUUCCACCUUUAUGAGAUGUAGAAGCACUGCAGCUUCCAUUUGACAGAACAUAUUCCCUUCCUGAAGACUUUGAAGGAAUCAUAAGAAAACAACCAAAAAAAAAAAAAAAAAAACCAAAAAAAACACAGUGAAGAAAAGAAUUUUCAGCAUUUCUUUUCCAUUAAUACUUUAUUUUCUCUUUUCCUGGAUAUGUAUUCAGGUUGCUGGUACUUCAGGGCAAUUAUCAUACUUUUUAUGAAAGACUAUGCAUUAGAAUGUUAGAAAUAGACUUUGACAGAAUUUUAAACCAACAGCUAAUGGCCUUAUUUUCAGGUAAAACUUUCUAACAGAAGGCUUUUUGAUGACAGUAUAUGCCACAUAAGGAUGACUGGCAGACCCUAAAAGAUCAAUACUACUUAGAUAUGAUGAUGAUUAGUGUCAGCAGAAAAGAAAGUUAUUAGGACUUUAUGAGGGGAAAAGAGAAGCAGAGCCAGAUUUGGAGCCACACACAUUUGAAGAAAUGCACUGGCUUUUCUGGCUAACUGCUUGGCAGCUCUAGCAUUAUAUAUUCAUCACAGAUCAUUCCAGUGAAGACUUAUAAAUUUUUUAUCAGUCUGACUUGGGCAAUGCCUUAUGGCCAUCUGUUCACAUGACAGUGUAAUCCCCAGUUCACGCUAAUUGUACACUUCCUUCACAGGAAAGCCCUGGAAUAAGCAAAAAGAGAACAAACUCAGCACCUGUGUCUGCAGUUUACCUGGAAAAGUGCAUGACAGGAACAUGAAACGAGGAGUUAUCCUGGGAACAAUUAAUAUAGACCAGCAGAAACUGCAUUAAACAUUUCUUCUUUUUACAGUGCCCUGGACCUGGGGCCACACACAUGCACACACAUGCAAUCUGAAGCCUUUUACCAUUUACCCAGAGGUAAAGUGGAAGAGAUGGGUAGAUCAUACUUCCUGUUCUAUCAGAAUAAAAGGCUCACCAGAUUGUUUGCCA